GCAAAGGCCUGUGUCAUACCUGGCUGUGAGGUGUGUGUGUGUUUUGUUUUGUUUUUUACUAUACACACUAUAAAGAAGUGGUGGGAUGGCCUACGUGCUGGGCAAUCAGCUAUAUGUGUCAUUGAUGAAGAUGGCGGUACCUGACAUACAUUAAGCCCUGUCAAACAUCAGUUCUUCACGUUUUAUGGGGGCAAGAUACUCCAGAUAAAUCUGACUCAUAAAGUAAGUAAUGUGCCCAAAGUUCUCAGAAAGAAAGAAAGAAAGAAAGAAAGAAAGAAAGAAAGAAAGAAAGAAAGAAAGAAAGAAAGAAAGAAAGAAAGAAAGACAAACCAAAU
rnacentral:lncRNA from 1 species